rnacentral:rRNA from 1 species
CCAGAGAACUUUCCAGAGAUGGAUUGGUGCCUUCGGGAACUCUGAGACAGGUGCUGCAUGGCUGUCGUCAGCUCGUGUUGUGAAAUGUUGGGUUAAGUCCCGCAACGAGCGCAACCCUUAUCCUUUGUUGCCAGCGGUUAGGCCGGGAACUCAAAGGAGACUGCCAGCGAUAAACUGGAGGAAGGUGGGGAUGACGUCAAGUCAUCAUGGCCCUUACGAGUAGGGCUACACACGUGCUACAAUGGCGCAUACAAAGAGAAGCGACCUCGCGAGAGCAAGCGGACCUCAUAAAGUGCGUCGUAGUCCGGAUUGGAGUCUGCAACUCGACUCCAUGAAGUCGGAAUCGCUAGUAAUCGUGGAUCAGAAUGCCACGGUGAAUACGUUCCCGGGCCUUGUACACACCGCCCGUCACACCAUGGGAGUGGGUUGCAAAAGAAGUAGGUAGCUUAACCUUCGGGAGGGCGCUUACCACUUUGUGAUUCAUGACUGGGGUGAAGUCGUAACAAGGUAAGCGUAGUGCU